CAGUUGGACUUGAGCGGUCGCCAUGGUGGUAUCGGGGACUCGGCCGGCCGCGUUAGCACAGAAGAUCCUCAGUCAUAGUUAACAAAAUGGAAAAAAUAGCUGUGUUUUUAAGAUUCCAGUCGUGGCCAUCAACUGCUCAGGAAAGCAGCCCAGAAUCACUUCACAACAGGUUUCCAAAGAAUCAUCAUUCAUCGGCACAGAAGGGUGGGAAAGAGAAGGUUGUUCAAAUUCUGAAAAGCCAGAGCUGCAAAGGAGGUCAAAGAUGCAGUAGAGUUUCACUAGUGGUUCUGAUGUGGACUGGAGAUUACACGCUGGAUUGAAGUGGCCGGUCUGGAGCAGCUGUAAUUCAUCAUUCGUGCUGAUUGUGGACGAGUAAGAGCCCGCGUUGGCCCCGAUCGGCGAUCGCUGGCCAAAGCCCACCACCAGGUUGGUGAUAGGCGUUGGCUGUACUUGGUGGGGGGGGGGGGGGGAGGGGAGGCGUAUUCGGCCACACCAGGUUAUCUUGUAAUGCAACAAAGCUGGAAAGACGCAGUAAAAUCAAUAUAUAGCUCGCCAUUUUUCUUCAGAAUCAUACAGGUCAUUUUCGAUCAGGUCAUCGCUGAGGUCACUGGAGGUCACCAAAACCAAAAUGAUGACGAAUUUUGGCUCCCGAUUUUGACAACUUCUCAAAUUGGUUCAUAACUCGGGAACCAAAGAAGCUACAGCGCCGCGGAAAAGCGAAUUCGAUAGCUCUUUCGAAAAUCUUUCAGGUUCUCAGAUUUGAGCUAAGGUCAACUAGGGUUAAGCCUCCAAAGGGCAAAAACUGAACAAUCGGCUUGCUUCGGAAAUCGUCUUUUCUUUUAAAACUUGUGAUACCAACCUUUUAUUACGUUGAUUUUACCGGCACUGCGUUUCGCUCGUCUUGUUGACCUAACAAGGUCAACUUAAUAAAUUUGACCUCAGGUCAAUGUCUCAGAAAAUGCCAUAUUGCAUGUUAUCGAUUCGUUACAUUGAAAUUGAGAUUAACAUCAGUAGCGGCGGAACACCUUCAAUUAAGGGGGCAUUGCCGACUUUUGGUCUCAUUCUUUCCAUGCAACGCCCACAGGGCUAAUGUUAAAAUGCCAAAAUCAAAGGGGGCACGGUGCCCCGGUGCCCUCUCCGUUCCUCCGCCUAUAAUUAUGAUGCUUUUAGCGCUCUGGCCAUGCUCCAUCUAAAAUCGAUGUACAAAAAUAAACUGUUGGAGACGUUACAUGACCUGAGAUGACCUCAGGAGCAUACGAUAGAUCCCGAUGUUUGAGUGUUUUUGUUUCAAAAGCAGAACAUUUCGAGUUCCUCAUACUGACUGAAACUGGAGACGUCGCAAAGUUGACCCGAGGGGUGUUCACGGGCACCGCACACUGCUGCGUGCGGUGUGUGCGGUGCGUCCAGCAGGCGUGGGGGUAGGGGAUGGGUAGGCGGCUCUGACGUCACGGCUGCGUGCGGUGGACGGUCCGCUGUGGCCAGUCCCGACCGGCCACAGCGAUCGCUGUGUGCGGUGACGGAAGGCUGACGUAGGGACGCAGUGGGCGGAGCUUGGAGGCUGUGUGCGGUCCGACCGCACACAGGGCCCGUGAACAGCCCUCUGACCCUAGGUCACCGUUCACCGAUAUCAAAAUUAAAGAUACUCAAGAUGUUGGUACUGAUUCUCUCAUGCAAUAGCUCGAGUUUCAAACUUCUACGUCAUGGUGACCUGACCUGACCUUAGGUGACAUGGGGUUACAUUUUUUUUUUCACAAAUGAUGCGAAUCGAUGCAUUGUACAUAAGCUAUACUAAGUUUCGUGUCGUUUUAUUUAUGCAAGCAAGUUAUUAUUUAUGUCAGGUGUGGCCAAAAACGCCCCCACCCACCUGGGGGAACGUUACAGCAGUGAUGUAUUUUUCGGUGUAUUCCACGAUGCAUCGAUCGGUGUACUUGAUAAUGCAUUAUUUAUUGCUGCGUGUCUACGCUUUUGCUCUGUUCAGUGUGAUCUGUGAUAGAAAAACUACCGAUAUAUCUCCACGCGCAUGACUGAAAGAGCUGGCAUGAUCUAUAAUAUUGGGUGUCUGUUUUUGUUUGGCAUUUUAUAAAUACUGAGUCAGC